AGAACAAGAGGUUUGGUGUAUUAUUCCAUUUUCAGCAAAGAAAUUGCUGCCAUAACCACUAGACCCAAGAUCAAAUGCAUUGUCACUUCUAAUGGUUUGUACAAUAGCCUGGAAUUGGGUUUUGAUCAUGGCAAUGAAAGCUUUGAUAAGGGGAAAGGCAUUGCUCUUGGACCCCAUAAGGUGAGUCCAAGUAGCUCUAGUAAAGUCAUCAACUAUUGUUAGGAAAUAUUUACAUCCAUUAUGAGUGGUAGUGGCAUAUGGACCCCAGGUAUCCACAUGGAUGAGUUAAAAGGCAUGUGUUGUCUUAAUGGAAUUGUCAUGAAAAGGCAAUCUAGAUUGCCUGGCUAAUGGGCAAACAAUACAUAUGAAAGGUUGUUUAGUUGAAAAUUUGCAUGGUAUAUGAGGGAUGUCUUUCAUCCUAACAAAAGGUACGUGCCCUAGUCUAUUAUGCCAUAACAUCUCCAUUUUAUUCAAUUCAGAAUGGUAUGUACAAUAAGAGGAAGAAACAGAAUCAACAACUAAUGGAGAAUGGUAUUUACAAGGAGUAUGAGAUUGAAGAGAAGAAGAAGAAUAUUUCACAAGCCUGUAAAGUCCAUCAUCCAAUUUACCAAUUAUCAGUGGCCUCUUCAUAGAAAGGGCCUGUAUCAAGCAAGAAAACUUAGUAAAUAGGACAAUAGAAUUUAACUGGUGCACAAGCUUGGAUACAGAGAUAAGAUUGUAAUGAAAGCUGUGAAUAUAAAGGACAUGAUGUAGAGUGAAACAAAGGAAUUGUAUGGAUCUAGUACAUAUUACCUUGACCUUAUAACCAUUAGGCAAGGUAACUAAGUAUGGUAUAACUAAUGGCUUAAUAUCAAACAGAAGAUAUUUAUUGUAAGUCAUGUGAUCAGUGGCACCAGAAUCUAUAAUCCAAAUGCAGUCACUAAUUUUAGUUAACAUGCAAGCCCCAUAAGAUACAUUCUUUAAAUGACUAUAGGAAGAAAAUGUACCAGCAAAGUUGGCAGAUGCCAUAAGACUGGAUUGUUGUUGAGACUCUGAAA
rnacentral:lncRNA from 1 species